rnacentral:rRNA from 1 species
GAUGAACGCUGGCGGCGUGCCUAAUACAUGCAAGUCGAGCGAACAGACGAGGAGCUUGCUCCUCUGACGUUAGCGGCGGACGGGUGAGUAACACGUGGAUAACCUACCUAUAAGACUGGGAUAACUUCGGGAAGCCGGAGCUAAUACCGGAUAAUAUAUUGAACCGCAUGGUUCAAUAGUGAAAGACGGUUUUGCUGUCACUUAUAGAUGGAUCCGCGCCGCAUUAGCUAGUUGGUAAGGUAACGGCUUACCAAGGCAACGAUGCGUAGCCGACCUGAGAGGGUGAUGGGCCACACUGGAACUGAGACACGGUCCAGACUCCUACGGGAGGCAGCAGUAGGGAAUCUUCCGCAAUGGGCGAAAGCCUGACGGAGCAACGCCGCGUGAGUGAUGAAGGUCUUCGGAUCGUAAAACUCUGUUAUUAGGGAAGAACAAAUGUGUAAGUAACUAUGCACGUCUUGACGGUACCUAAUCAGAAAGCCACGGCUAACUACGUG